GCUGACACAUUCCAGCCAAUCAGCAGCAGACCCUCCCUCCCAGACCCUCCCACCUCCUGGACUGCUCACUAAGAAUGCAGCUUCAAAAUGGAUGCUGUCCAGGAGGUGGGAGGGUCUUGGAGGGAGGGUCUGCUGCUGAUUGGCUGGAAUGUGUCAG
rnacentral:miRNA from 1 species